UUAAUUUAUUUUCUUUUUUUACUCAGACAAUAUUCAAUAGUAAAGAGUUCAACUUUGGCAAAGACUCACUCACAGCUUUGAAGCUAUCAGUGGUUUAGCAGAAGCCAAAGCGCUCUGCCAAAGAUAUAGAUUUGAUACACAAGGGUGGGAGUUGGGCACAAAAGAGUGACCCCAAUCUCGGUAAUGAUCCUUCCGCAGGUUCACCUACGGAAA
rnacentral:misc_RNA from 1 species